CGAGCGGACAGAUGGGAGCUUGCUCCCUGAUGUUAGCGGCGGACGGGUGAGUAACACGUGGGUAACCUGCCUGUAAGACUGGGAUAACUCCGGGAAACCGGGGCUAAUACCGGAUGGUUGUUUGAACCGCAUGGUUCAAACAUAAAAGGUGGCUUCGGCUACCACUUACAGAUGGACCCGCGGCGCAUUAGCUAGUUGGUGAGGUAAUGGCUCACCAAGGCAACGAUGCGUAGCCGACCUGAGAGGGUGAUCGGCCACACUGGGACUGAGACACGGCCCAGACUCCUACGGGAGGCAGCAGUAGGGAAUCUUCCGCAAUGGACGAAAGUCUGACGGAGCAACGCCGCGUGAGUGAUGAAGGUUUUCGGAUCGUAAAGCUCUGUUGUUAGGGAAGAACAAGUACCGUUCGAAUAGGGCGGCACCUUGACGGUACCUAACCA
rnacentral:rRNA from 1 species